GUGGGAAAUUUCCUGAGCUGCUGGUCCUUUGCAGAGACUCUCAGGUUCUCAGGAGCAGCUCUGAGAGCACAUGGAAGGAGAUUUAUUCCAGCUCAAGAAACAGCAAACAAGCCAGCUGAAAAAUAAAAAUGGAGUUUUACAAUGUAAUGAAUUGCAAGAAUAUCAAGAGAAGGGGAAAAGAAUAAAAGGCUGUGCUCCAUUUUGUCACAUCUGGCAUGGUGAUAAAUCCAGUUGUGCAGUGAUCUCUAUGCACCAUUACAGAGAUGGAAUUUGCUGACUGAGAGCACCAAACACUCGAGGGGUUACAGAUCUGAGCUGCAUGACAUCUUUGAUUUGGGUACAUCAAACUCAGCAGGUGGCAAUAUAAACUUCACCAGAUGACACAAGGAUUCUCACUUGGAAGAGCCAUUUUUGAGGGGAAAAAUAAAGUUAACUUUUAAAAAUACCCCUAUCUGAUAUGAUCAGAGAGAAGAACACAAGAAAGCUGAAGUCAGCAAUUGCACAAAUACCUUAAGGCAUUUGCUGCAUGCAUUUGUCUCAGAAACUUAACUGCUCUAAUUUCCCACUGGAGUCAGUGCAUGAAGGAGUUUUUGAUCAGAUGGUCUUUUGUGUUCAGAUCCUGUGCUUGUCUUCAUCCAUCUCAGUGAUGGAUCUCAGCCCUUCAGAUCCCAGUGAUAACAAGGUCUCAGAGUUUUAAAAUCUAGAGUAAUUAUUCAUUUAUUAUUACUUCCUAUUCCACCUUUGCCAACAAAGACACCUUUCAGGAAGGAACAUCUGAGAUGAGCCACGCAGUGGUUGGAGUGACCAUAGCACUGAUCACCAGUGUCAUCAAGAACCU